AUGGAUGAUGCAACGGAGCCCUGGGCUGACAGCCCUGUUUGCUCCGGUCCUGGGCGGCAGCGACCACAUGCUGGACAGCGGCCAGCGCGCGGCCAGCGCGCGGCCAGGUGGUCAGGUCGCCCUAGCCCAGCUCACGCGCUGGCAUCCCACCGUCUGGGCGCUGGGCCCACGACGGCCCCUGGGCAGGGCUGGGCCCUGCAGACUGUCCGUCGGGGGCACCCGGGCCCCCCAUCGCGGCCAGGCAGCGCUGUCCGCACGAGUCCCCCGCCUAGAGCCGGGCGAUGCAGGGGGCGGGGCGGGGCAUGUCUAGGAGGCGGUCCCCCCACCUCUGGGAGUGGGUGUUUCCGGCAUCCAGUCAGGCCUUUGAGGAAACGCCUGAGGCUCCCGCGGGCCAAAGGGCUCAGCGAGCAGCCGGGAGUUCCCGCUGGACUCCGCGGUCAGAGAGUGCGGUGCGCACGCGGCGUCCCCCGGGGAGACGCGCGGACAGACUCCCUCGAUCUCCCGGCUCGGCCUCCGAUGGGCGGGCAAGUGAGCUCGGCCGGCUCCUUCCGCGGCCUGCCCUGCGCCUCCAAGGCGAACGCGGACUGGAUGUCGGCGCUGAGCUCUCGACUCUGGGACGUGCCACUGCACCAGCUCUCCAUCCCAGAGCUCGGGCAGCGCCUUCUGCACUUGACCCGGAGCGCCCAAGGUUUAGGGUGUCCGCCCGGCCCCAGACGGCUCGGGAGUCACGACACGAUGACCUACUGCCUGAACAAGAAGUCGCCCAUCUCCAGCCAGGAGCCGAGGCUGCUGCAGCUUCUGCGCAAAGUGCUGCCGUGCGUCACCCUGCCCGUGGUGCUCAAGUGGUCCACCACACAGAGAACAAAGUACCUUUUCUGCUACUAAGUUAUGUUACGGCUUCCCUGGUGGCUCAGCUGGUGCUGAGCGUCACUGAGCAGCUGGACGCGGGCGUGCGGUACCUGGACCUGCGGAUCGCACACAUGGAGGAGGGCUCCGAGAGGAACCUGCACUUCGUCCACAUGGUGUACACGACGGCCCUCGUGGAGGACACGCUCACGGAGAUCUCCGAGUGGCUGGAGGGCCACCCCCGGGAGGUGGUCAUCCUGGCGUGCAGGAACUUCGAGGGCAUGACGGAGGGCCUGCACGAGUACCUGGUGGGCUGCAUCAAGAACAUCUUUGGGGACAUGCUGUGUCCCCGCGGGGAGGUGCCGACUCUGCGCCAGCUGUGGUCACGGGGCCAGCAGGUCAUCCUGUCGUACGAGGACGAGGCGGCCGUGAGCCGGCACGUGGAGCUGUGGCCCGGGAUCCCCUACUGGUGGGGGAACAAGGUGAAGCCCCAGGACCUCGUCCACUACCUGGAGCGCAUGAAGAGCUGCGGCCGCCCAGGCGGGCUGUUCGUGGCCGGCAUCAACCUCACGGAGAACCUGGAGUUCAUCCUCGUCCACCCGGCCUGGUCGCUGCAGAAGCUGACCCUCUCGGGGCUCCCCUACCUGUGCGCGUGGGUGCGGGCCCAGUGCCCGGGGUCGGCCGCCGGCUGCACCAACAUCAUCGCGGGCGACUUCAUCGGGGCCAGCGGGUUUGUCAGCGACGUCAUUGGGCUGAACCGGAAGCUGCUUCGGGGCUGACGGGCGGAGCCGGGCAUCCCGGGGGCUGCUCCUCGGGCGCGUCUUGUGACGUCACCGGGCUGAACCGGAAGCCGCCUGGGGCUGACGGACAGCACGUGGGCGGAGCCGGGCAUCCCGGGGGCUGCUCCUCGGGCGCGUCCUGUGACGUCACAGGGCUGAACCGGAAGCCGCCUGGGGCUGACAGACGGCGCGCUGAGGAGCUGGGCAUCGCCGAGGCUGUUGUCAGUCCUGUCCUGCGGGGCUGGCAGUCCAUCCAUCCAUCCACGGAAUGUGGGUGGCUACAGAGGUGGGGCCGGGUGGCAGGGUCCUUGCGCUCCUCGGUCCUCCGUGUCUCUCAGCGGAUGUAGGGUGUGAGGUGAUGAUUAAAGGCGACUCGUGAUUAGUACAAUCGCAUCUUCCAAGGAGACUCCUGGGUCUGUCUGUGGAUUCCCCAUGGGAGAGGCUGGGGAACCCCCUCCCCCUGGGCGCUGAGAGCGGCCGACACAACCCCCAGCUGGGUCGAGGGGGUGGGGGGGCAGUAUGACACACUGCCCGUAGGGGGCACUGAGCGCAUAGCGAUCCCACUGAGAAAUCCCUUUUAUUAGAUGAGGGGCUGCCCUGGUGGCUCACCUAAGAAGGCCUUCCUAUCUCUCCCUGCUAUUCUUUGGAACUCUGCAUUCAGGUGGCUGUAUCUUUCCAUGUCUCCUUUGCCUGUCUCUUCUCAGCAAUUUGUAAGGCCUCCUCAGACAACCAGUUUGCCUUUUUGCAUUUAUUUUUCUUGUGGGUGCUUCUGAUCACCACCUCCUGUGCAGUGUUAGGAACCUGGGGCCAUAGGUCUGGUACUCUGUGUGCACGAUCUACCCCUUGAAUCUAUUUGUCACUUCCACUGUAUAAUCACAAGGGAUUUGAAUAAAGCAAAGAAACAGGAAAACA
rnacentral:lncRNA from 1 species